AAAAGUUUAAUAAAAACAACUGUCUAUGUUUGUGGUUCACAUUAUAUUUCUGCUGGACAGUGCUAUGCUGAGCCAUUGCGAAGGAGAGAGAGUAACUUGGUGGGGUGGAGUGGAAGGGUAGAUACCCUGAGAAACCCUCGGGGAGGUUUGAGGUAGUUGAAGAGACCCUUCCACCAUGUGCCUGGCCUGGGGUCAGAGGCACUCCCUGAGACUUUGGUGAUGAUGACAGUGAUGACAACGGUGACUUGCCCUUAAUUCUGUGCGUCAGAUUAAGCUCAACACCCAGUGUAUUAAAUGCAUCCCACGAUUGCCUCAGAGUUUCUGUGUGAAUCAGAAGAGAUGACUAGGGUCAAACCUGGAUACAGGAAAAAAAAAAAAACACACCUUACGCAUGCCUUUAUCAUUUUUCUUUUUGCAGUGUUUGACCAUUGAGCAUCUAGAGACUGGGAAACUGAACUUUCAUGAAACACCGUUGCUUGUGUGAUCUGUCUCUUCAGAGACAGAGGCCUCUGACCUUUCUGUUAACAUCACCUAUCACUGCGAGCUCGGCAUGUGUCAGACAGAUAAAUCCACUCAGUUUCCUAAGAAGUAGACGCCACGUGCUCCCAGAAGUGGUUUGGUUUAGAUGGAGAAAUCUUCAUGGAGAAGGUGCGGAAUCAAGAAGAGGAUCUGGGACUGGACAUGAGGACCACUGGAAAGCCACCAUAAAUUUUUCCAUUCAUGCAACACAGAUUUAUCCAAUACCUACAGUGAGCCAAGCCCUGAAUGGAAAAAGGCUCAGAAGACGCGAUUAA
rnacentral:lncRNA from 1 species